rnacentral:rRNA from 1 species
GAUGAACGCUGGCGGCGUGCCUAAUACAUGCAAGUCGAACGAAACUUCUUUAUCACCGAGUGCUUGCACUCACCGAUAAAGAGUUGAGUGGCGAACGGGUGAGUAACACGUGGGCAACCUGCCCAAAAGAGGGGGAUAACACUUGGAAACAGGUGCUAAUACCGCAUAACCAUAGUUACCGCAUGGUAACUAUGUAAAAGGUGGCUAUACUACCGCUUUUGGAUGGGCCCGCGGCGCAUUAGCUAGUUGGUAGGGUAAAGGCUUACCAAGGCAAUGAUGCGUAGCCGAAUUGAGAGGUUGAUCGGCCACGUUGGGACUGAGACACGGCCCAAACUCCUACGGGAGGCAGCAGUAGGGAAUCUUCCACAAUGGGCGAAAGCCUGAUGGAGCAACGCCGCGUGGGUGAAGAAGGUCUUCGGAUCGUAAAACCCUGUUGUUAGAGAAGAAAGUGCGUGAGAGUAACUGUUCACGUUUCGACGGUAUCUAACCAGAAAGCCACGGCUAACUACGUG